rnacentral:lncRNA from 10 species
GAUUUUCCUCAUUUUUUUUACAGAUAUAUAGUACUCCAUGUAUAAAUGAACCAUGGUUUUAUUCAAUCAUUCUUCUAUCUGUAGGCAUUUAGACUGAUUCCAAUAUUUUGCAAUUACAAAUCAUGCUUCAAUGAACAAUCUUGUAUAUAUGUACUGUCAUAUCAUUGGAAGUGAAUUUUGGGCUAGAUUUCUAAAAUGAGAUUUCUGAGUCAAACAGUAAACGCACAUGUAGCUUUGUAAAGUAAUGUCAAAUUUCACUUUUAAAAGGUUGUACCAGCUUGACAUCCUACCAGAAAUGCAUGUAACAGAAUGUGUUGUAAAAUUUAUUAAUUUUUGCCAGCCUGACAGGCAAGAAAUCGUAUCUCAGUGUUGUUUUAAUUGUAUUCCUCUAAUUAUGAGUGAGUGUGAACAAGUUUCAUGUUUAAGGGCCAUUUCUAUUUCAUUUGCUGUGAAUUGUCUGCUCACGAAAGCAAAGCCAGCAACAGAAAUGGACAGGAAACUUUCACAUCUGGCUCCCAGGAUAGGCCCUGCCCCCUGGAUUGAGCUCCAUGGAGACCUUAGACUUGCCUGCUUUCUCAGCCCUAUUCAUACACCCAGCACCCAGGGCAGACAGAAUUCUAUUCCUCCCAGAGGUGGUCCGUGACCUCAGUACUGCAGUUUGGUUGGUGUCUUAACCAAGCUCAAUGGUCUGAGUAUUCAGGGUUACGGUUAUUUUUAGGUUUCCUGUGACAAUAAAAAACAUUUUCUGCAGAUGCUUAAAAGUAAGCCCUGUGUUUGGUGUAGAAAUCACAAAGUUAACAAUUAACAUGGGCCCUGGGUAUCUUCACAUUUGAGUGUCAGGCAUUGGUCCUCAUGUUUCAUACUGGGAAAAGUCAAUCAACUCACCAUUUGGCAAAGGUCAAAGCAGGGGACUGACCUUAUGACUGAUGAUUCUGUGUUCCAGACCACUGUGAAUUCCUCUACCUGUUUGCAAAAGAAAAAGGGAAUUUUCCUGAGUUUCAGUUGAAUUAAUCACAUUUAACAGCUCUUCAGAGGAAAAAAAAAAUCAAUCUUGUAAAUUACAAGUACUGCCAGGGGAGCCUUACAUUAGGCAUCACUUCCAUGUAUAUAGUCAGACCAGAAUGAAGCUGGAUUUGAUCCCUUGAGGUUGAACUGUCACCAAAGGCAGCAUUUCCGCUACUCUCUAUCUUUUCAAUAAUGUAAAUAAAGAACUGGA